rnacentral:rRNA from 1 species
CGUGGGUAACCUGCCCAUAAGAGGGGGAUAACAUCCGGAAACGGGUGCUAAUACCGCAUAGUUUCUUGAUCGCAUGAUCGGGAAAGGAAAGACGGCCUUUGUGCUGUCGCUUAUGGAUGGACCCGCGGCGUAUUAGUUAGUUGGUGAGGUAACGGCUCACCAAGACGAUGAUACGUAGCCGACCUGAGAGGGUGAUCGGCCACAUUGGGACUGAGACACGGCCCAAACUCCUACGGGAGGCAGCAGUAGGGAAUCUUCCGCAAUGGACGAAAGUCUGACGGAGCAACGCCGCGUGAGUGAAGAAAAGGUUUUCGGAUCGUAAAACUCUGUUGUCAGAGAAGAACAAGUUGGAGAGUAACUGCUCCAGCCUUGACGGUAUCUGACCAGAAAGCCACGGCUAACUACGUGCCAGCCGCGGC